GAUGAACGCUGGCGGCGUGCCUAAUACAUGCAAGUCGAGCGAACAGACGAGGAGCUUGCUCCUCUGACGUUAGCGGCGGACGGGUGAGUAACACGUGGAUAACCUACCUAUAAGACUGGGAUAACUUCGGGAUACCGGAGCUAAUACCGGAUAAUAUAUUGAACCGCAUGGUUCAAUAGUGAAAGACGGUUUUGCUGUCACUUAUAGAUGGAUCCGCGCCGCAUUAGCUAGUUGGUAAGGUAACGGCUUACCAAGGCGACGAUGCGUAGCCGACCUGAGAGGGUGAUCGGCCACACUGGAACUGAGACACGGUCCAGACUCCUACGGGAGGCAGCAGUAGGGAAUCUUCCGCAAUGGGCGAAAGCCUGACGGAGCAAAGCCGCGUGAGUGAUGAAGGUCUUCGGAUCGUAAAACUCUGUUAUUAGGGAAGAACAAAUGUGUAAGUAACUAUGCACGUCCUGACGGUACCUAAUCAGAAAGCCACGGCUAACUACGUG
rnacentral:rRNA from 1 species